ensembl:lncRNA
GAAGCGGUGAACUGGGAAUGUUGCUGCAAAUCUGUUCCUGACCCUUGUGACCUCUGGAACAGCGAAUUAUCAAACUUUUACUACUUCACCUGUUAAAUGCCGUGUGCCCGGCAGGUGUCGCCAAAGCGUUGUGUAGAGCCCGGCUGUCAGCAGCAUGUACUGUACAGUAGGACAGCUGGGCUUUAUUUUGCUUCCCAGACUGGAAACCACUGUAGUGCAGUUGGACUUGACGUCUAGCAACACAACAUCAGACUUUAAAAAAGCAGACCCGGUGGCUUUGCAAGUUAGCGGCUGCAUUCACAGAGACAUAUGUCAGAUUCGACAGUACCUCCUGCAGAGCAGCAGAACCUCGACACCAAACCUCUGCGAGACAUCCUCAUGCACAUGUGGCUCAUGCUGAGCUGCAGGAAACAAACCAAUGGCCGACCCUCGUUCUCAGAUACUGUUUUCCUCACCUGUACCUGGUAUUUUUACUCCUUGCUGUGAGCUCGACUGCAGCAGCAUGGGGGGGAGAGGCACAGCUGGAAGUGUGUGUGAAAUAUGUGUUUUCAGGUGAAUAGUAAAAAAUAAUACACAAACACAAAAUAGCAGCUCCCUAGCUGCUGCCAUGCUACAUGUCUGUCUUCAUCUGAUGCCAUUAAACCUGAUUAUCUUUGAUUGACAUAUUUAAGCUGAUGUAUUUUAAUGCAGCGGACCUCACUAUAUUUCUUCCUGUGAAGUUUGUUUGAAACUUACUACAAAUAUGUCACAAAAUGUUAAAGAAGAGUUAAACAAAUGUGAUUUUGUUGGCUGAUUGUCAGUCAUUGCCAUAGCAAUCAGCUCCGUCUCAAGUUGCGUAGCAGGUUCACUGCACACUCUGGCCACAGAACGCCCUCAUUUGAGCUGGCGUGGCUUGUGUCUUCACCGUGCAGAUGACUUAGCUUAGCACAGAACUUUACAUCAUUUAUGUAUUCAGCCAUUAUUUAUUUAUACAUGCAAGCUCUUGAGCAGUGUUUAAUAUAGCCUCUUAGUCCUCAGUUAGAACUCUCAGAUAUCUUACUUUAUGUAAUUGGUACACACAGUUUGGGCAUCAGAACUCAGGAAUCACGCAAAUGUGAACUCUGAUAAGGCGUGGAUUUUGGUAAUUUGAAGAGAAAUGUUGUUUAAUUCAACUCUAGCUGGCAUCAAGAAGCUCUUACCCCAAGAAACCCGCAGACCUUCUCAAACUAUUACUGCUGAUGCCACAGAAAUGCAAAUGAGUAGAUGAUGUCACUGUGCCCUUGGACAUUUUUACAUUUUAAAGCUGCUAGUUGGCAUUCUGAAUUGAAUCCUACACUUUAAUGAGGGAUGGAGUUAAGAGGGGGAGCUGGUAAAAUGACAUGGGAAAAACUUACAUAUGUGAAAAAUGGCAUCCUCCUACAGGUGUUUCUGCUGUUUAUGGGGUGUUUUUUUGAAAUAUAUAUGCUGGGAGGUUGAAAUAUUGUGAUGUCCAGCUAGAUUUUAAAAAAACAACAACAAACUUGCCUUUUCCCUGAAAAGGGAACGGUUGUGAGCAUAAUAUGAAACUGUGGCAGGUUGCCAGGUCCCCACUGCUUUGUACCUUGUUGAGAUAUUUCCUUGCUGGUUUCUGUUAUUUUCUCAGGUCGUGUUUAAAGUUUAGUGGUGGUUACAGUUAUCUGGAUUCAAUUCCUGCUCCCUGUUUUCUACGUAUCGAGUCCACAUUUCUGUGUCCUGAGUUCAGUUACUUCCUGUUUUAUUUUGGUAACUCAUUUAAUUUUACGCAUUCAUGUUGCAUUAACAAAUUUACUUCAGCUGUGUGUUUCUCCCAGGCAUCUCCACUCUGCUCCCGUCUCCUCUUGUGUGUUUAAACCCUCAGUUUGCUUGUAUUCUUUGUUGUUACCUCCAUCAUACCGCGUGCUCCCUUGGUCUGCGGUUUCCCUGAGUUUUUGCAUUCCUGGCGCCAGCCCUGCCUUGUUUUUGUAUUUUGCUUAAAGGACUUCAGCAUUAAAGCUGCUUUUUGAGUUUAAAGUCUCCUGAGUCCUGCAUUUGGGUUCUAAUCCUGCCUGCCGCACAGCGCUUCAUGGCACCCACAUCAAAUUUUGUGUUGUUUAUUGAAAUUAAUUAGUUUAACCAUGAAAUGAUCUCUGUAAGGUGUAGAAACGACUCUGAACGAUUGUUUUAAAAUGAACAUGUUAACUUCAUGGCACAAUAUAAAGAGGGAACCUUCAGGAAAGAAAUGCAUGGGAUGCACUUUCUCCAACAUGCUAGAGCAGCCAGAACCAUUGCUUUAAGUAGACCCUCACCUCCAUACGCUAGAAUGCUGUUGUACAGUGGCAAAAGAGACUGCAACACAUGCUUCAGAUAUUUAGUGAAAUAAAGAUGAAGAGACAGGGCAGAGGAGAAAUAAACCUGUUUAUCUUGUGCCUUGCAUGUCGUUAAUUUCUUAUUAGAAGCUGAGUGGUUGCAUAAUAAAAGAAAUGUCCUUGAGUCUGCUCCCACAAGGUGCUGCUGCGUUUUCCACUCGAAAACGUUUGAAUUGUGUGUGUCUGUGUCGCA